rnacentral:snoRNA from 1 species
AUCACUUGUGUGUGUCUUUGUUUAACUUGUGAACAAAGACUCACAGAUUGUUGCAAAAAAAUAAAUCUUUUGCAACCCAGAGCUCAUUGUUCAUUGUGAGUUUUGAUACAUAUAAGAAGGAAGAUG